rnacentral:rRNA from 1 species
AACGUAGGAGGCGAGCGUUAUCCGGAGUUACUGGGCGUAAAGCGCGUGUAGGUGGUUGGAUACGUCUGCUGUGAAAUGUCCCGGCUUAACCGGGAGGGUGCGGCAGAUACGGUCUGACUUGAGGGCGACAGAGGAGCGUAGAAUUCCGGGUGUAGUGGUGGAAUGCGUAGAGAUCCGGAGGAACACCAGCGGCGAAGGCGGCAUCCUGGACUGGUCCUGACACUCAGGAGCGAAAGCGUGGGGAGCGAUCCGG